ACAGUGAUAUCGGGACUAAAGGAAGUGUGGAACAAAAUCCUGAACCAACGAACAGAAACUUAUUAUAGGGCUAUACAAACGAAUAAAGUCGUGUUUAUAUUUUGCAAUAAAAUCAAUUAUUGUUAAACGUAAAU
rnacentral:ncRNA from 1 species